rnacentral:tRNA from 1 species
GGUAUGGUAGCUCAAUGGUGGAGCAUCAGGCCCUGGACCUGAACGGUUCAGGUUCAAUUCCUGCCCAUACUU